GACGAACGCUGGCGGCGUGCUUAACACAUGCAAGUCGAACGGAAAGGCCCUGCUUUUGUGGGGUGCUCGAGUGGCGAACGGGUGAGUAACACGUGAGUAACCUGCCCCUGACUUUGGGAUAACAUCAGGAAACUGGGGCUAAUACCGGAUAGGAGCUCCUGUUGCAUGGUGGGGGUUGGAAAGUUUCGGCGGUGGGGGAUGGACUCGCGGCUUAUCAGCUUGUUGGUGGGGUUGUGGCUUACCAAGGCUUUGAAGGGUGGCCGGCCUGGGAGGGUGACCUGCCACAUUGGGACUGAGAUACGGCCCAGACUCCUACGGGAGGCAGCAGUGGGGUAUAUUGCACUAUGGGCUGAGGCCUGAUGCAGCAACGCCGCGUGCGGGAUGACGGCCUUCGGGUUGUAAACCACUGUCGCCUGUGACGAAGCGUGAGUGACGGUAAUGGGUAAAGAAGCACCGGCUAACUACGUG
rnacentral:rRNA from 1 species